UGUGCAAGCCAAUUACAAUUUUUUUCAAUAUGUAGGUGUUUCCCAUUUGCUGUAUAACCAAAUACAACUUUUUCUGUGUUUUUUGUUUUAUUUCUUUAGACUGGUUCCAUCCGAGAAGUUACGAGAAACCUUAUGGAUUUACUGAAUGCUCAUCUACAAGCAGAGGGCCCGCAACAAACACCAACUGUGCCACAGCGCACAACACCAGCGACAACACCUUAACAGACUAUCCCUCGGUCUACAGUUCAUCAAGAAAUGUCAAGGAUUUCCAAGAGCCAGACAUCGACUGGGAUGUUGCAGCAGAGUACAGCCCAGAUGUGGACGGUGCUGUUGUGGUCCCGGAGUUCGACAGUCCCCUCACUGAAGAGCAGCAUGCUGAACUGCAGUUGCUACUGGCACAAAAUUGGGAGCGUUCAGACACUAAGGAACUUUAUCUAUUGUGCAGAGAAUAUGUUAAUGCUGCUUUGUCAGAUUAAUGUGUACUUGAAGUAAAAAAUCAAGAGAUCAGUUCCAGUGCUUUUUUUAAUGUUACAAAAGAAAUACGUAACAUGUAUUUGAAAUGGCAAUAAGCCUAACUUUAUUGAUUCAUGUAACAAUGUCGCUUUCUAGCCCCAAAACAUUACAUUAUUUAAGAAAACAAUUGGUCUUUUUGGAUUCAAAGUUAAAUUUGAACCAUUAUACAGUAACCUGAACCCAGAACAGUGGCCAUCUUGUUUUCAUUUAAUGUCUGCUAAAAUCAAAUCCAUCACAGACUGCCUGAGUAAGCCGACUUUAAAAGUCAGUGUAUGUAGUAAUGUGCCGUGUAGGUAAGGUGAUUAAGUGUGGUCCAUACCAGGUGGUACUGUCGUGAUCAACAUUUACAGUUAUCUUGUAAAAUUCUCUUUCUGUGUCUGUUAGUGGCGCAUGUGCCUGGCCUGAAACCCACUGAAAAAAAUCCUUGCACUGACAACUGCUUUGCUCCACAGCCAUCUGAUGGGCUCCCAUCUUGGUCAUCUGUUCCUGAAGGGUGAAAAAAAAAAUCAGUGUGUCACUAACAUGAUUGAGGUUCCCAGGAAGAAAGAGGGGCUGAAGUGCCUGGUGGUGUUGUGGUAACAGCUCAUCCAAACCCUAAAUGGCCAGUCCUUCUCUAAGCUGCCUUAGCAUCGGUAUGAGUCUCAUCACUGAAUGCAAACUGAUGGCCCUAUUAAAAAGAAUAAUGAACUUGUAAUAACUCAUUUUUAAAAAUUGCAUGACUUGUUUAAUGCUACAUUAACAUAGCCUACUCAAUGAUGGCCUUGUGAUCGCUGUUAAUUGGACCGGUGUAGCCACAUGCUACAAUGGCAUCAGAAAGGUCUGUCAGUGCGUCUUCUUCGGCACGUUCCACCUUCAAUCAGAAACACUUUAGUACAAUUUACAGAAAAUAAAUUAUUCUGUUUAAUUUACCUCCUGAAUCAGGUUCUGGGUUUCCGUAUCAGUCACCUCUGGCACAUCUUCAUUUGUUAUUUGUCCAUGACACAAGAAAUGGUAGGACCAAGUAGAAAAGAAAUUCGGUGCUGGUCCUCUUUGAACCAAGCUGGUGGCAAUGAUCUCCCCACAGAUCCUGAACACAAAACAAGCCAAGUUACACUGCAGAGCAGCAUCAUACUGUACAUACCUGUAUCUGUUUUCCUGGUAGUAAGAGAUACUAUAUUUGGGGUUUUUGCCUUUGCAUGAAACUCCUUCAAAUAAGUUCAACUCAAGGCCUCGCAUCAUUUCUAUUGGGAAAAAAGAAAUGACAGUUUGCCAUUUUCAACUAUAUUCAAAGUUGGUAUGUUGACAUUAGCAAGGAAUACAUACCGGUUAGGAACUCUCAGCGUAGUGCUCCUUCAUCAAUGCCUUGUUCUCCAAAAAGGAAACAAUUAGCUGGUUUUUGGGGGAAGCCUGCUUCU